UACAGAGGGUGCGAGCGUUAAUCGGAAUUACUGGGCGUAAAGCGUGCGUAGGCGGUCGCGUAAGUCGGAUGUGAAAGCCCCGGGCUCAACCUGGGAAUUGCAUUUGAGACUGCUCUGCUUGAGUGCGGAAGAGGGAAGCGGAAUUUCCGGUGUAGCGGUGAAAUGCGUAGAUAUCUGGAGGAACAUCAGUGGCGAAGGCGGCUUCCUGGUCCAACACUGACACUGAGGUGCGAAAGCGUGGGGAGCAAACAGG
rnacentral:rRNA from 1 species